CCUCUUCCCAUUCCGAACAGAGAAGUUAAGUCCACCCGCGCUGAUGGUACUAGGGUAAAACCCGGGAGAGUAAGUCGUUGCCUAUU
rnacentral:rRNA from 1 species